rnacentral:tRNA from 1 species
GGGCGUAGUUCAAUGGUAGAACACCAGCCUUCCAAGCUGGAUACGUGGGUUCGAUUCCCAUCGCCC